rnacentral:rRNA from 1 species
ACAGUGGACGCGAGCAUCUUUGUUGUAAGUGUUUAUGAGCGUACGGUGGAUGCCUUGGCACCAGGAGCCGAUGAAGGACGUGGGAGGCUGCGAUAUGCCUCGGGGAGCUGUCAACCGAGCUGUGAUCCGAGGAUUUCCGAAUGGGGAAACCCAGCACGAGUGAUGUCGUGUUACCCGCACCUGAAUAUAUAGGGUGUGUGGAGGGAACGUGGGGAAGUGAAACAUCUCAGUACCCACAGGAAGAGAAAACAACAGUGAUUCCGUGAGUAGUGGCGAGCGAAAGCGGAUGAGGCUAAACC